rnacentral:rRNA from 1 species
AUUGAACGCUGGCGGCAUGCCUAACACAUGCAAGUCGAGCGAGCGGCGGACGGGUGAGUAAUGUAUGGGGACUGCCCGAUCGAGGGGGAUAACUACUGGAAACGGUGGCUAAUACCGCAUACUUUCGGUUAACCCAUAUGGGAUUAGCUAGUAGGUGGGGUAAAGGAUCACCUAGGCGACGAUCUCUAGCUGGUCUGAGAGGAUGAGCAACGACACUGGGACUGAGACACGGCCCAGACACAUACGGAGGCAGAAGGGGGGAAUAGUGCAAAAGGAGCGAAAGCCUGAUGCAGCCAUGCCGCGUGUAUGAAGAAGGCCUUAGGGUUGUAAAGUACUUUCAGCGGGGAGGCGGUACCCGAAGAAGAAGCACCGGCUAACUCCGUGCCAGCAGCCGCGGUAAUAC